GCACUGCACACUGCCUCUGAGAUGAGACAGAGCUCUCCAGGCUGGGAGUCUGAGGAAGCCGGCCGGACCUGGGUAGCGCUGCUCAGGUCUAUCCCUCACAACAGCUUCAUUCAGAGGGAAUCGCCAUCUUCUUACUGGGUAUGAACCGGAGCCCUGACUGAGAAAGCUGGCAGGUGUGUGUCAACCUCAAGCAGUGGGGUCCAGAGAGAGCACUUUGCACUGAAGACCAUCUCAGCUUUCUGGCUUCUGCUUCAACUGAUGGAAAAUCUCUGCUUCUUUUUAUGGAAACGCCUUGUUGUCAUUUCUCUAUUUUGCAGCUUUGGACCAUUUUCCUAACAGAUGAGAUUUCUGGAGAUUCGCUUCUCAUUCUUUGAGGAUGACCUGCCUAGGGGUGGCUCCAUCCACAGUGGGCUGGACACUCCCACAUCAAUCAAUAUCCAAGAAAAUGCCCAGCAGACAUAGCCACUGGCCAGGCAAAUGGAGACAAUUCUUCAGCUGAGUGAGAUCUCCUUUUCCCAGGGAAAAGCGGAGCCCUGUUCAGCAUUGGUCAUCAGGUUACAGGGGUAUCACUUCCUUUAUCCAGCAUCCUGCCUCCACACCAUGUGAAGAAGCCAACCCACGUUCCAAUGGCAAACCCAAGUUCAUGCAGACCAUAUUCUCCAACGUCUGUACUUCCCCUACCAGUUGGAUCUGUGUUCUUUUGCAGUUCUGGGGACUUUUCAAGACUCUACUGACUAAAUAUGCAAAGAGUGCCGAUAAUGCAACUCAUAAGCUGGCUUUCUGAGCUAUCAUGAUGUCUUUCCCUCUCUUUGUGCCCAAGACCUUGUGCUCUCUUGCCUUUGAAGAUCCAUGAUAUUUGAAACUCAUGAGACCCAAGGCAGAAGUGUCCAGACAACUAGGAGCUAAGUCAAGCUGCUUGCAUUCGCAAGCCAGGACUUGACUGGAGGGAAUACAAUAGAGGUGCAGACACUUCUGUGCUAACCUGUGAGUGCCUUUGGACCAUGAAAAUAAUGUGUCUGUGGGAAAGACAAUGGGUGGUUGCUUGUUGAUGCCUCCUGGGGUGCUGUUUGAUGAGCUCUGAAAUACGCACUCUGCUUAUACACAGGGUCACAGAAGGCAUGGGGAUCUUAAGUGCACUCAUUCUAGGGUCAUCAGUGAGCUGACACUAUGUGCAGAUGAGCCCCUCUGCUUCUCCUGGAAUCAUCAUUAGAUGGCCAGAAAGGAUCUCCGUGUUGGACUCCUCCAUUCUGAUACAUCCUGUCUUCAGGGAUAGAAAAUGUUCCUGGGGGAACACGGGAGCUAAAGAAACCUCAGCUUUUCUCGAGUGUCUGGAUUAUUCUGAACUACAUGGAUUAUGUUCAAGCCCAGGAUGAGUGGCUCAAAGCGUGGCUGUGAGUGAGUGAGACGAAGAAAAAUUGGGAUCAUAUUUUAUUCAACCAAGAGAAAUGGAAUCCAGCAUAGUAGAUUUCAUGUUCUUGGGAAAUAUGUCCUAUCAAUGGUGUUAUUGAGAAGAAAGGCAGAGAACACGUUCUCCCAGACAAGGAAGAGAAGAUGUGGCCUUGGCUUUGUGAGCUGUGGCAGGGAGGGACCUAGCAUGGGAGCAAAGGUCUCUGGAAGCUUCCAGACAAACAAGUGUGGGUGUCGUUUGUCAGCUCCCUGAGAGUGGGUAUCGCAGAAGACUUCCUGUGUUUUCUGUGGGUAAAUACACAAAACUAUGCAUUACUGCAACACAAGCAGGCUUUAUACAUUUCUUUGGUUUUAACAAUUGCAUUAGAAACUUUGCUCUCCCCUGAAUCCUAAGAGGUGUGUUGUUGUCGUGGUUGUUUAUUUGUUUUUGCUUUUUUUUUUUUUUCAAAUAGAGACAAAUACAGGAGAGAAGGAAGCGC
ensembl:lincRNA Gm9866 predicted gene 9866